CUUUCAGCUCUGAGAAUGUGGCA
rnacentral:piRNA from 1 species